AGUCGCGCAUACAUUCGGUGGCGUCGAAAUAAACCAGAGUAAAGGAGCAGAGGAUUAAGGAUCUACCAAGUCGAGAUGCAUUGGAGAUAUUUGAAUAGGGACCUUUCUCGGUUUACUCAGAGUUUUAAUGAUAAACUCUAAGUCACCUUUUGUAUUUCAAGCUUUUGGUGUGGGUUGGUACGAGAUUUCGGCAGGGUAACGGUCUUUUUUCCGAAUCCUCUUUUCCAAUGACGGGACGUCUCUUAUAUAGAUUGACAUGGGUGGUCCUUGCAUCAUGAGCUAGCAAGAAUCAUUCCGUUAGAAUGGUAUUUCCCACAGAUUUGAUGUGGUCCUCAAAAUUAAAGUGAUAGGAAACGAAUUCGGUUGUGGUGAAAAAUCUCCAAAUGCGUGGGCAUCUUCGCUAAAUCCUCUAUCUAAUUCUUACUGCUGUGAAACCUACACCUGUUGUGGUAAUCUCAAGGCCAUGUUCACAGCCCAGUUCCACAUCUAUGCAUUGUUUCAACUCCUAUGACUAUAUUCGUCCUACAGCAGGUUAUGUGUACAUUAGUUUGAAGUGUCGUAACUUUUUGGUUUCCUUGUAUUUAGUGCUUUUUGUGGUUCUGUUUUGACAGUCUAGGUCUUGUGAAGACAUCUCUUCCCGCAUUCUCAAAUGGCACUAUGACUUUUUGAUUCAUGAUCUUGUGAGUUGCCACCUCCUACUAGAAGGUGCCUUGCGCGAGAAAGCAUUUGAGAGGUUCUUUGAAGUCUUCCUAGUAUCUCAUGCUUUGACCAACAAUCAGAUAGAACUAACUAGGGUUAUUUAUGUUUGUGUAUUGGUUUUGAGUCUAGUCAUGGAAACAGGGUAAUGCUUGUAAAAUAAUUGGUUAUUAUCUUGAACGACAUCUUACUUUUGUAAGGAUAUUUCUUCCAUGUCAACUGCAUCAGAAUCCUAGCGACUACCCAUCAUGUUUGAGUAUCAAACUGCAUUGUUUUAUACAAUUCCUUGUAGCUAGAAGUGUCCUAGAUAUGCUACUGUUAUCAUCCCUAUCUGAUACUAUGAGACCAAAAUCAGGAAGUUGAUUGUGCAAAGGUCCAGUUCCAGUCCCUGCCAGAAAUGUAUCCUUUGAAAUUAAAGAAUGAGUGUCCUACUAUUUUGGCAUUAAUUGGUAUAGCCUGCUUUGACUUGUCUCCAUUGCAAGGAACUGUACAUGCAUCAAAUACUUUCAUGUUGGAAUUCAUCUCAACGUCAAUGACAUCACAUCCAGUUGAAGGAGACAAAUAUCUUUGAUCCAACAAGUCUGUAUGAAGAACUUUGUCCCGUGAUUGAUUUACGUUUGUAAUGUGACGGUGCGUCUGGUUUUGGUUUUAUUUCAUCAGCCGCUAUAUACCAAUUCUCGUUUAAUUAGGAAAAGUAGCAUGGACAUCAUAUCCUAUACCGGUUUGAGAAUUAAUAAGUAUUUUGAUAUUGCUUGUUUGGACCUGUAUGUUUGAAACUGGAAUACAGAAAUUGACUGAACUUGUAUGCUUCUUAAACCAAUAUUGUUACCAGCACGUUGUAGUGUUAUUCUUGACUCAUUCACAACAUAUGAAGGCCUGGAGCAAAGAGGUAGUGGUACGUAGCGUGAAUCACUUGACAGAUUGAUAUGCACCUUGUAAUUAACAUUUAUGACAAAAACAGCUGGUGGAGACUUUGCAAUUAACCAAAAGACUUUGCCUCUGUCAUUGAAUAAUUUGAAGAGUUAAGAUCAUUGAUCUGAUAUGGUGUACCAUGCAGGUGAAAAUGCACAGUCUAUAAUGUGCGCCUUGUCUUCAGCACAAAAAGUUGGUGGAGUUGAUUCCCUUUCAUUUUUGUAUAACUUGUGGCUUGAUGCAACGAGAACUAUUUUUCCCACAAUAGAUGUUAUAGGAUGGUUUACAUGGUGAGACAAAAUCUAUUUUGAUAUGCUAGCAUCUCCUAGACGGACUCCUUGGUUCAAGCUCUCGCUAGCAAGUAUCUGUUAAUGCAAUGGAUGAAACCUAACCACCCAAGGUGUCUUUAUGGCCAAAUAAUUCCU